rnacentral:sRNA from 1 species
UAGCCCAUAUGUUAGUUGAAAAACAGCUUCAAGCUGGUCACUUAGAGCCUACACUCAGCCUUUGAAACACACCCAUCUUUGUAGCUGGGAAAAAAAGGUAAUUGGAAAUUAUUACCAGACCUUAGAGCUAUUAAUUUGGUCAUAGAGCCCAUGGAGGUAUUUCAAUCUGGGCUUCCUUCUCCUUCAGCUAUUCCUUUAGAUUAUAAUUUGAUAGUAAUAGAGCUAAAAAUUGUUUUUUCUCUAUACCUUUGCACUGAGAUGACUGUAAAAAGUUUGCCUUUAG